UGGGGAAUAUUGCACAAUGGGCGAAAGCCUGAUGCAGCAACGCCGCGUGAGUGAUGAAGGUCUUCGGAUUGUAAAGCCCUGUCUUUUGGGACGAUAAUGACGGUACCAAAGGAGGAAGCCACGGCUAACUACGUGCCAGCAGCCGCGGUAAUACGUAGGUGGCGAGCGUUGUCCGGAUUUACUGGGCGUAAAGGGUGCGUAGGCGGAUGUUUAAGUGAGAUGUGAAAUACCCGGGCUUAACUUGGGUGCUGCAUUUCAAACUGGAUAUCUAGAGUGCAGGAGAGGAGAAUGGAAUUCCUAGUGUAGCGGUGAAAUGCGUAGAGAUUAGGAAGAACACCAGUGGCGAAGGCGAUUCUCUGGACUGUAACUGACGCUGAGGCACGAAAGCGUGGGUAGCAAACAGGAUUAGAUACCCUGGUAGUCCACGCCGUAAACGAUGAGUACUAGGUGUAGGAGGUAUCGACCCCUUCUGUGCCGCAGUAAACACAUUAAGUACUCCGCCUGGGAAGUACGAUCGCAAGAUUAAA
rnacentral:rRNA from 1 species